UUUUGCCCAAAGUACCUUGAAGAUGUAUUGAUCUAAAGUUGGGUCGCAGAUUCAAGUCUUCUAAAUUGAGACAUAAAUGAUAGGUAAAAGAUGUCGUGUCGCGAUUUCAAUCAAGGUGCUUCUUGCGAGGCAACCCAGGGAAUUUUUCUUGAUGUUUUCUAAUUCUUUUGGUUUAAUUUUUAGCUUUUUUUCUGGGCGGUUAUAGGCUAUAGUACAUAUUGGAAUGGGUACCUCAAGAAUGAAAUUCUAGAUAAGUAUAUUGGACUUUCACUUUGUCACUUUCCUCUCUUA
rnacentral:lncRNA from 1 species